UACGUAGGGUGCAAGCGUUGUCCGGAAUUAUUGGGCGUAAAGAGCUCGUAGGCGGUUCGUCGCGUCGGCUGUGAAAACCUGAGGCUCAACCUCAGGCCUGCAGUCGAUACGGGCGGACUUGAGUACUGCAGGGGAGACUGGAAUUCCUGGUGUAGCGGUGAAAUGCGCAGAUAUCAGGAGGAACACCGGUGGUGAAGGCGGGUCUCUGGGCAGUAACUGACGCUGAGGAGCGAAAGCGUGGGGAGCGAACAGG
rnacentral:rRNA from 1 species